rnacentral:lncRNA from 1 species
GCAUGAAACUCUCUUUUGCUAAUAUAUAUAUGUUCUUUUUUUUUUUUUUCCUGAGAAAUAUCUGCCCCUCACAUUAUAGAAUCAUGCAAAAAAGAUGUGAGAACAAAACAAGCAUUAUCAAAGAGGAACCAAAGAACAUGAUUAACACAGUGACAAACCCUUCAGACAAAUGGAAUUUUUCCUGUCCUAAACUGUGCUGGAUGGGAGGCGUUGCACAUUCAAAGCUCCCGUUUAAAUCUCAAGCAGAAAUGGCAGAGUCCACAGCUCCUGAACCUUCUGAUGUACCUUGGAGGCAUCCUGAGAGGCCCUGUCCCAGGGUAAAUCCCACUGAACAGGCAAUGGCUUCUCUGCAGCUAUUUGCAACUAAAACAACUUCUUCCUAGGCAAUAAAUUUUCUAACCUUUUCUUCUUCUAGUGGAGAAAUACCACCAUUCCAUCAUCAGUCUUGAAUGAGGAGCAAAGUGUAGCCAGGAGCACUGCUUCCUUGUAGCAUGCUUCUGAGUUGCCUUACAAGGG